CUUUCUCAUCUAUUAAAUGGGGAUGCUGAUUCUAUGUUUUAGGCAGCUCGAAGCCGUUUCAGCCUUUUCAGCCUCAAUUUUGUCAUCUAUUAAAUGGGGAUGCUGAUUCUAUGUUUUAGGCAGCUAGAAGCCGUUUCAGCCUUUUCAGUCUCAGCUUUCUUAUUUAUAAAAUGGGGAUGCUGAUUCUAUGUUUUAGGGCAAUAGUGGAUAGAAUGUUGGUCCUGGAGGCAGGAAGACUCAUCUUCCUGAGUUCAAAUCCUGCCUUAGAUACUUUCUAGGUGCCUGAUCCUAGGAAAGUCACUUAACUCUGUUUACCUCAGUUUCCUCAUCUGUAAAAUGAGCUGGAUAAGGAAAUGGCAGACCAUUCCAGUAUCUCUGCCAAGAAAAUCCCAAAUGGGGCCACAGAAAGUCAGACCCAACUGAAACCAUUGAAUGACAAAUAAUGCUUGGCCUUCCUACUUCUAGGUUACUCUGAGGAAAGCAUUUUAGAAACACGCAGUAAAGAAAUGUGGUACUUUAUUUGAACCUAAUUUCUUCUGGGCAACAUUCCCAUGAACUGAGCAGGGCAGCUAUCAUUCCCCCGCCCCCAAUCUUACAGAUGAUGAAACUAGGGUGAGGAGACUUGCUAGUGGCAGAGCUGGAUUUGAACUCAGGUCUCUCAGCUCCUAGUUAUAUGCUCUUUCCUGGGUACCAUACUGCCUCUCCAACUCCUCUCCCAUUUCAGUCAACUGCUUCAGUUUCCCCAUCUGUAAGAUGGGGAUAAUAAUCUCUGUCCUGCAGCCCUUGCAGCAAGGAUCAAAUGAAGUCCUGGAUGGGAGAGCACUUGGAUGGGGUAGUGAAAAGAGCCCUGAAUUUGGAGUCAGAGGACCGAGGUGUGAAUCUUGGCUCUGCUACUAACUGUGUGACCUUGGGUCCUGCUGCCCCCCAAGAGCCCCCGUUCCCGGACAUUUAUGGUGGUGAUGCCCAGCUCUGGGAGGCUCACUUCCGUGGCAUUGGUCGGGCUUACCGGGCCCUGGGCAAGGAGGAUGACUUCGCCAUCCGGGUGCUGACUGAGGACUUUACACUGCCCUUCCCUUACGCCUGGCCACCUGGACCUGACCCUGCCCGGGGUCCCCUCUUCUAUGACCCCCAGGACAGGACAGGCUUUGACUUCCUCCUGCGGCCUGGGGCACCCCCACCUGCCUUGCUCCGUCCUCUCCAUGCCACUGCACAAGCCUUCCUACGAAAGCGGCGACUGGAGCAGCUGGCUUUGAGCUAUGCCAGCUCGGGCGGUGGUGCCGCCCCACAUCCUGGAGUGGUCCUCCUGGCCCCAGCCCCGGGGCCCAAUAAAUUCCCUACCCCAGGACUUCCAGAUGGGAAAGGGGCCAGGGCCCCACUGGUCUAAGCCAGAGCAUCGUGUAGCAUGGGCAUUGCCUGUCUCCCUCUAGUGUCUUCUGGAAAAUGAAUAAAUAUUUUUUCUUCCUAUGUGUCCUGGAGCUC
rnacentral:lncRNA from 1 species